GACAGAGGGUGCAAACGUUGUUCGGAAUUACUGGGCAUAAAGAGCGCGUAGGCGGUCCGCUAAGUUUGGUGUGAAAUCCCCCGGCUCAACCGGGGAAUUGCGCCGAAUACUGGCGGGCUCGAGGUCGAUAGGGGUAAGCGGAACUCCAGGUGGAGCGGUGAAAUGCGUAGAUAUCUGGAGGAACACCGGUGGCGUAAGCGGCUUACUGGAUCGAAUCUGACGCUGGAGCGCGAAAGCUAGGGUAGCAAACGGG
rnacentral:rRNA from 1 species